UCGCAAGGCCGAAACUUAAAGGAAUUGACGGAAGGGCACCACCAGGAGUGGAAUCUGCGGCUUAAUUUGACUCAACGCGGGAAAACUCACCAGGUCAGGACACGGUAAGGAUUGACGGACUGAAGGCUCUUUCUCGAUUCCGUGGAAAGUGGUGCAUGGCCGUUUUUGGUGGUGGAUCGAUCCGUCUGGUUAAUUCCGUUAACGAACGAGACCUCGGCACUCCGAAUAGCGCGGCGGACGUCGCGGCCUCCGGGCCGUCUUCCGCACGAGCUUCUUAGAGGGACCGUCCCCCGCCGGGGAAGGAGGUGCGAGGCAACGACAGGUCUGUGAUGCCCUUAGAUGUUCUGGGCCGCACGCGCAUUACACUGACGCGUCCAACGGGUGACUCCGACCCGAAGGGGCCGGGAAUCCGCAAGGCGCGUCGUGAUGGGGAUUGAACGUUGCAAUUG
rnacentral:rRNA from 1 species